UUUUAAGAUCUCCUAUAACACAUAUAAGAAUGAAUGGUCAAUAAAUAAGUUAUUUACCAUGUGUGUUAAAAAAAAGGAGAGACUUAAGCAGGAGAAGUUGAAAAUUAUAGCAGAAUCUGUUAAUUUGGCGACUCAGCGAAAAAAGGGAAAGAGCAGGGGGUGUCUCUAAUUAUAAGAAGUCAGCUCAGUUGCCAAUAAAGAAUUUUGGCAAAAAAGAUCAUUGCUAUUUCUGUUAAAAGAAAGGGCACAUGAAAAGGAACUGUUUGAAGUAUACAGCUUGGCUUGAGAAGAAAGGUAUUAAAAUUAACAAUAUUUGUUAUAGAUCUCAUUUAGUUAAUGUUCCUAAAAAUAUAUGGUGGAUUGACUUUGAAAUUACUG
rnacentral:lncRNA from 1 species